rnacentral:rRNA from 1 species
AGAGUUUGAUCAUGGCUCAGGACGAACGCUGGCGGCGUGGAUUAGGCAUGCAAGUCGCGCGACGGGCGGGAGCAAUCCUGCUACGGAGCGGCGAACGGGUGAGUAACACGUGAACAAUCUGUCCCCUGGUUCCGGAUAAUUGGCCGAAAGGCCUUGUAAUACGGGGGAGGGUCGCGACGGGGCAUCUCGUUGCGAAGGAAGGUCGAGGAGCAAUCCUUGGCCGCGCGGGGAGGAGUUCGCGGCCUAUCAGGUAGUUGGUGGGGUGACGGCCCACCAAGCCGACGACGGGUAGCUGGUCUGAGAGGAUGGUCAGCCACAUUGGGACUGAGACACUGCCCAGACUCCUACGGGAGGCUGCAGUCGAGAAUCUUGGGCAAUGCCCGCAAGGGUGACCCAGCGACGCCGCGUGGAGGAUGAAGGCCCUUGGGUUGUAAACUCCUUUUCGGGAAGAAGAAGGGGGGCGCAAGCUCCCUUGACGGUACUCCCGGAAUAAGCCACGGCUAACUACGUGCCAGCAGCCGCGGUAAUACGUAGGUGGCAAGCGUUGUCCGGAUUUACUGGGCGUAAAGCGUGUGUAGGCGGACCUUUAAGUAAGAAGUGAAAGGUUGGAGCUCAACUCCAACAGGGCUUCUUAUACUGGGGGUCUUGAGUGCCGGAGAGGACGAUGGAACGGCCUGUGUAGCGGUGAAAUGCGUUGAUAUGGGCCGGAACACCAAUGGCGAAGGCAAUCGUCUGGACGGAGGCAGUAAAACUGCCUUAAAACUGACGCUGAGACACGAAAGCCAAGGGAGCAAACAGGAUUAGAUACCCUAGUAGUCC